rnacentral:rRNA from 1 species
UACAUGCAGUCGACGGGAUUGGAGAGCUUGCUUUCCAUGAGAGUGGCGUACGGGUGCGUAACGCGUAUGCAACCUACCUUCAUCAGGGGGAUAGCCCGAAGAAAUUCGGAUUAACACCGCAUAAAAACACAGGCUGGCAUCAGUCAAUGUUCAAAUAUUUAUAGGAUGAAGAUGGGCAUGCGUGUCAUUAGCUAGUUGGUGAGGUAACGGCUCACCAAGGCGACGAUGACUAGGGGAUCUGAGAGGAUGACCCCCCACACUGGUACUGAGACACGGACCAGACUCCUACGGGAGGCAGCAGUAAGGAAUAUUGGUCAAUGGAGGCAACUCUGAACCAGCCAUGCCGCGUGCAGGAAGACAGCCCUAUGGGUCGUAAACUGCUUUUAUACGGGAAUAAACCUUGAUUCGUGAAUCAAGCUGAAUGUACCGUAAGAAUAAGGAUCGGCUAACUCCGUGCCAGCAGCCGCGGUAAUACGGAGGAUCCAAGCGUUAUCCGGAUUUAUUGGGUUUAAAGGGAGCGUAGGCGGCCUAUUAAGUCAGGGGUGAAAGACGGUGGCUCAACCAUCGCAGUACCUUUGAUACUGAUGGGCUUGAAUGUAGUUGAGGUAGGCGGAAUGUGACAAGUAGCGGUGAAAUGCAUAGAUAUGUCACAGAACACCGAUUGCGAAGCAGCUUACUAAGCUAUGAUUGACGCUG